rnacentral:rRNA from 1 species
GGGGGGGGGGGGGGGGGGGGCGGGGGGGGGGGGGGGGCGGGGGGGGCGGGGGGGCUUGCUCCUGUGCCGUUAGCGGCGGACGGGCGAGUAACACGUGGAUGACCGACCUCUCAGACUGGGCUAGCUUCGGGUGACCUGAGCUAAUACCGGGUAAUUUAUUUAACCGCCUGGUUCACUAUUGCACGCAGGUUUUGCUGUCACUUAUAGAUUGGUCCGCUCCGCCUUAGCUAGUUGGUAAGGUAACGGAUUAACAAGGAAACGAUUCGUAGCCGAACUGAGAGAGUGGUCGGCCACACGGGAACUGAGACACGGUCCAGACGCCUGCGGGAGGCAGCAGUAGGGAAUCUUCCGCAAUGGGCGAAAGCUUGACGGAGCAACGCCGCGUGAGUGAUGAAGGUCUUCGGAUCGUAAAACUCUGUUAUUAGGGAAGAACAAAUGUGUAAGUAACUAUGCACGUCUUGACGGUACCUAAUCAGAAAGCCACGGCUAACUACGUG